rnacentral:rRNA from 1 species
UACGUAGGGGCAAGCGUUAUCCGGAUUCAUUGGGCGUAAAGGGCGCGUAGGCGGCUUGUUAAGCGAGGUGUGAAAACAGGGGGCUCAACCCGCUGCUUGCAUCUCGAACUGGCAGGCUUGAGUUUGGUAGAGGAAAGUGGAAUUCCCAGUGUAGCGGUGGAAUGCGCAGAUACUGGGAGGAACACCAGUGGCGAAGGCGGCUUUCUGGACCAUAACUGACGAUGAGGCGCGAAAGCGUGGGUAGCAAACAGGAUUAGAUACCCUGGUA